rnacentral:rRNA from 1 species
GGGUUGUGAGGUUAAGCGACUAAGCGUACACGGUGGAUGCCCUGGCAGUCAGAGGCGAUGAAGGACGUGCUAAUCUGCGAUAAGCGUCGGUAAGGUGAUAUGAACCGUUAUAACCGGCGAUUUCCGAAUGGGGAAACCCAGUGUGAUUCGUCACACUAUCAUUAACUGAAUCCAUAGGUUAAUGAGGCGAACCGGGGGAACUGAAACAUCUAAGUACCCCGAGGAAAAGAAAUCAACCGAGAUUCCCCCAGUAGCGGCGAGCGAACGGGGAGCAGCCCAGAGCCUGAAUCAGUGUGUGUGUUAGUGGAAGCGUCUGGAAAGGCGCGCGAUACAGGGUGACAGCCCCGUACACAAAAAUGCACAUGCUGUGAGCUCGAUGAGUAGGGCGGGACACGUGGUAUCCUGUCUGAAUAUGGGGGGACCAUCCUCCAAGGCUAAAUACUCCUGACUGACCGAUAGUGAACCAGUACCGUGAGGGAAAGGCGAAAAGAACCCCGGCGAGGGGAGUGAAAAAGAACCUGAAACCGUGUACGUACAAGCAGUGGGAGCCUCUUUAUGGGGUGACUGCGUACCUUUUGUAUAAUGGGUCAGCGACUUAUAUUCUGUAGCAAGGUUAACCGAAUAGGGGAGCCGAAGGGAAACCGAGUCUUAACUGGGCGUUAAGUUGCAGGGUAUAGACCCGAAACCCGGUGAUCUAGCCAUGGGCAGGUUGAAGGUUGGGUAACACUAACUGGAGGACCGAACCGACUAAUGUUGAAAAAUUAGCGGAUGACUUGUGGCUGGGGGUGAAAGGCCAAUCAAACCGGGAGAUAGCUGGUUCUCCCCGAAAGCUAUUUAGGUAGCGCCUCGUGAAUUCAUCUCCGGGGGUAGAGCACUGUUUCGGCAAGGGGGUCAUCCCGACUUACCAACCCGAUGCAAACUGCGAAUACCGGAGAAUGUUAUCACGGGAGACACACGGCGGGUGCUAACGUCCGUCGUGAAGAGGGAAACAACCCAGACCGCCAGCUAAGGUCCCAAAGUCAUGGUUAAGUGGGAAACGAUGUGGGAAGGCCCAGACAGCCAGGAUGUUGGCUUAGAAGCAGCCAUCAUUUAAAGAAAGCGUAAUAGCUCACUGGUCGAGUCGGCCUGCGCGGAAGAUGUAACGGGGCUAAACCAUGCACCGAAGCUGCGGCAGCGACGCUUAUGCGUUGUUGGGUAGGGGAGCGUUCUGUAAGCCUGCGAAGGUGUACUGUGAGGUAUGCUGGAGGUAUCAGAAGUGCGAAUGCUGACAUAAGUAACGAUAAAGCGGGUGAAAAGCCCGCUCGCCGGAAGACCAAGGGUUCCUGUCCAACGUUAAUCGGGGCAGGGUGAGUCGACCCCUAAGGCGAGGCCGAAAGGCGUAGUCGAUGGGAAACAGGUUAAUAUUCCUGUACUUGGUGUUACUGCGAAGGGGGGACGGAGAAGGCUAUGUUGGCCGGGCGACGGUUGUCCCGGUUUAAGCGUGUAGGCUGGUUUUCCAGGCAAAUCCGGAAAAUCAAGGCUGAGGCGUGAUGACGAGGCACUACGGUGCUGAAGCAACAAAUGCCCUGCUUCCAGGAAAAGCCUCUAAGCAUCAGGUAACAUCAAAUCGUACCCCAAACCGACACAGGUGGUCAGGUAGAGAAUACCAAGGCGCUUGAGAGAACUCGGGUGAAGGAACUAGGCAAAAUGGUGCCGUAACUUCGGGAGAAGGCACGCUGAUACGUAGGGAAGUCCCUUGCUGGAGCUGAAAUCAGUCGAAGAUACCAGCUGGCUGCAACUGUUUAUUAAAAACACAGCACUGUGCAAACACGAAAGUGGACGUAUACGGUGUGACGCCUGCCCGGUGCCGGAAGGUUAAUUGAUGGGGUUAGCGGUAACGCGAAGCUCUUGAUCGAAGCCCCGGUAAACGGCGGCCGUAACUAUAACGGUCCUAAGGUAGCGAAAUUCCUUGUCGGGUAAGUUCCGACCUGCACGAAUGGCGUAAUGAUGGCCAGGCUGUCUCCACCCGAGACUCAGUGAAAUUGAACUCGCUGUGAAGAUGCAGUGUACCCGCGGCAAGACGGAAAGACCCCGUGAACCUUUACUAUAGCUUGACACUGAACAUUGAGCCUUGAUGUGUAGGAUAGGUGGGAGGCUUUGAAGUGUGGACGCCAGUCUGCAUGGAGCCGACCUUGAAAUACCACCCUUUAAUGUUUGAUGUUCUAACGUUGGCCCCUAAUCGGGGUUGCGGACAGUGUCUGGUGGGUAGUUUGACUGGGGCGGUCUCCUCCUAAAGAGUAACGGAGGAGCACGAAGGUUGGCUAAUCCUGGUCGGACAUCAGGAGGUUAGUGCAAUGGCAUAAGCCAGCUUGACUGCGAGCGUGACGGCGCGAGCAGGUGCGAAAGCAGGUCAUAGUGAUCCGGUGGUUCUGAAUGGAAGGGCCAUCGCUCAACGGAUAAAAGGUACUCCGGGGAUAACAGGCUGAUACCGCCCAAGAGUUCAUAUCGACGGCGGUGUUUGGCACCUCGAUGUCGGCUCAUCACAUCCUGGGGCUGAAGUAGGUCCCAAGGGUAUGGCUGUUCGCCAUUUAAAGUGGUACGCGAGCUGGGUUUAGAACGUCGUGAGACAGUUCGGUCCCUAUCUGCCGUGGGCGCUGGAGAACUGAGGGGGGCUGCUCCUAGUACGAGAGGACCGGAGUGGACGCAUCACUGGUGUUCGGGUUGUCAUGCCAAUGGCACUGCCCGGUAGCUAAAUGCGGAAGAGAUAAGUGCUGAAAGCAUCUAAGCACGAAACUUGCCCCGAGAUGAGUUCUCCCUGACUCCCUGAGAGUCCUGAAGGAACGUUGAAGACGACGACGUUGAUAGGCCGGGUGUGUAAGCGCAGCGAUGCGUUGAGCUAACCGGUACUAAUGAACCGUGAGGCUUAACCUUACAACGCCGAAG